rnacentral:rRNA from 1 species
UAGGGAAUCUUCGGCAAUGGACGGAAGUCUGACCGAGCAACGCCGCGUGAGUGAAGAAGGUUUUCGGAUCGUAAAGCUCUGUUGUUAAGGAAGAACGUGUGUGAGAGUGGAAAGUUCACACAGUGACGGUACUUAACCAGAAAGGGACGGCUAACUACGUGCCAGCAGCCGCGGUAAUACGUAGGUCCCGAGCGUUAUCCGGAUUUAUUGGGCGUAAAGCGAGCGCAGGCGGUUAGAUAAGUCUGAAGUUAAAGGCUGUGGCUUAACCAUAGUACGCUUUGGAAACUGUUUAACUUGAGUGCAGAAGGGGAGAGUGGAAUUCCAUGUGUAGCGGUGAAAUGCGUAGAUAUAUGGAGGAACACCGGUGGCGAAAGCGGCUCUCUGGUCUGUAACUGACGCUGAGGCUCGAAAGCGUGGGGAGCAAACAGGAUUAGAUACCCUGGUAGUCCACGCCGUAACGAUGAGUGCUAGGUGUUGGGUCCUUUCCGGGACUCAGUGCCGCAGCUAACGCAUUAAGCACUCCGCCUGGGGGAGUACGACCGCAAGGUU